rnacentral:rRNA from 1 species
AUUGAACGCUGGCGGCAGGCCUAACACAUGCAAGUAGAGCGAGAGGCGGACGGGUGAGUACUGUAUGUGGACUGCCCGAUAGAGGGGGAUAACUAAUGGAAACGGUAGCUAAUACCGCAUACUAUCGGAUAACCCAUAUUGGAUUGUCUAGUAGGUGAGCUAAUGGCUCACCUAGGCGACGAUCCCUAGCUGGUCUGAGAGGAUGAUCAGCCACACUGGGACUGAUACACGGCCCAGACUCCUACGGAGGCAGCAGUGGGGAAUAUUGCACAAUGGGCGCAAGCCUGAUGCAGCCAUGCCGCGUGUAUGAAGAAGGCCCUAGGGUUGUAAAGUACUUUCAGUCGGGAGGCGUUACCGACAGAAGAAGCACCGGCUAACUCCGUGCCAGCAGCCGCGGUAAUUC